UGACCUCAAAUCGGGGAGAUACCCGAUCCC
rnacentral:rRNA from 1 species